ACUAGACUUGAGACCAGUAAAGAAAGCUAAUUAAAACAAGAACAAAGCAAGAGGACCUAAAUUCGCACAGAAUUAGCCCAUGAAAUUUUAAAUGAAUGAAACAAAAAAAGGAAACCUAAUGCUAUCCUAUACCAGUCGAAAUCAACAACUGGACACCAUAAGUCAAUGUCUUUUCACAUCACCGUCCCAGCUUUUGAUGAUAGCAGGUUUCAAAAAAUCUUUUAGUCUUCUGCUACCCAUUUUUUAUGAAGGCUACUUUCCUUUUUUCAGUUUGGUAGCCUUGGCUGACUUUUCUCUAGUGCGCGGCGAACAUAACUUGGAACACCACCCAACAGAAUACUAAAACCCAUAAAAAUUCCUAAUCACAUGGCUCGUAAUUCUGCAUAUGCCUCUGCCACAAGUGAAGAUGCUACAUCGGAGUGGAGAACCAUCUUUGAUGCCAAGAUCUCACCCCCCACAUCUCGUACUACUAGUCCCGAAGUAGAUCUGAAAGAGUGCUGGUCGAAUGUUGCGUCAAAGUAAAUUGGCACACUUGUUCUCCUAUCAAUAUAUUUAUGGCCUUUGUCUACUUUUAAGAUUAACCAAUUUCUAUAUGUCCAAAUUAACCAAAGUCAGCAACAGAAAAGGCGACAUUAUUCGCUAGUCCCCCGACUAAAAACCCAGGACACUGUAGAAAUAUAUGGUUACUAUCUUCCUCAUAGUGAAGACACCGAAGACAAUGAGCUUCUAUAGCCACUUUUUUGUGCUUGAGAUUAGCUAAAGUAGGAAUAUAAUUUCAAGAGAUUCUCCAUAUUAUUAUUGUAACUUUCGAAGGGAUGUAUAAAUUCCAUAGUUUUCUGUAAAAAUCUUUAGUCUCGGCAUGUAUAAUAUUAUUACUAGGACCCGAAUUAGUCCCCUGUAAUAGUUUAUAGACGCUUUUAACUGAGAAAUUGCCGAACGGUUCUCCUUUCCACACUUGGAAGUCAUCGUGUAUUGUCUUCGCCAAAGGGAUUCUGUAACACCCCGUACCCGAGACCGUUGCCGGAGUCGAACACAAGGUGUUAACGAACUUAAUUCAUUAAUUAAACAACUCAUACAAUUUAUUUUAAAA